rnacentral:rRNA from 1 species
GACAGAGGUGGCAAGCGUUGUUCGGAAUCACUGGGCGUAAAGGGUGCGUAGGCGGUACGUUAGGUCUGUCGUGAAAUCCCCGGGCUCAACCUGGGAAUGGCGGUAGAAACCGGCGCACUAGAGUAUGGGAGAGGGUGGUGGAAUUCCAGGUGUAGCGGUGAAAUGCGUAGAGAUCUGGAGGAACAUCAGUGGCGAAGGCGGCCACCUGGCCCAAUACUGACGCUGAGGCACGAAAGCGUGGGGAGCAAACAGG